CCAGAGAACUUAGCAGAGAUGCUUUGGUGCCUUCGGGAACUCUGAGACAGGUGCUGCAUGGCUGUCGUCAGCUCGUGUUGUGAAAUGUUGGGUUAAGUCCCGCAACGAGCGCAACCCUUAUCCUUUGUUGCCAGCGGCUCGGCCGGGAACUCAAAGGAGACUGCCGGUGAUAAACCGGAGGAAGGUGGGGAUGACGUCAAGUCAUCAUGGCCCUUACGGCCAGGGCUACACACGUGCUACAAUGGCGCAUACAAAGAGAAGCGACCUCGCGAGAGCAAGCGGACCUCAUAAAGUGCGUCGUAGUCCGGAUUGGAGUCUGCAACUCGACUCCAUGGAGUCGGAAUCGCUAGUAAUCGUAGAUCAGAAUGCUACGGUGAAUACGUUCCCGGGCCUUGUACACACCGCCCGUCACACCAUGGGAGUGGGUUGCAAAAGAAGUAGGUAGCUUAACCUUCGGGAGGGCGCUUACCACUUUGUGAUUCAUGACUGGGGUGAAGUCGUAACAAGGUAGGCGUAGCGAG
rnacentral:rRNA from 1 species